GUCUCUGUGGCAUAAUUGGUUAGUGCAUUUGGCUGUUAACUGAAAGGUUGGUGGUUCAAAUCCGCCCAGGGGCG